rnacentral:rRNA from 1 species
GACGAACGCUGGCGUCGUGCCUAAUACAUGCAAGUAGAACGCAGUUGCGAACGGGUGAGUAACGCGUAGGUAACUGCCUCAUAGCGGGGGAUAACUAUUGGAAACGAUAGCUAAUACCGCAUACUGUGAGCUGGACCUGCGUUGUAUUAGCUAGUUGGUGAGGUAAAGGAUCACCAAGGCGACGAUACAUAGCCGACCUGAGCGGGUGAACGGCCAACCUGGGAAUGAGACACGGCCCAGAAUCCUACGGGAGGCAGCAGGAGGGAAUCUUCGGCAAUGGACGGAAGUCUGACCGAGCAACGCCGAGUGAGUGAAGACGGUUUUCGGGUCGUAAAGCUCUGUUGAUAGAGAAGCGGUAAAUAACCAGAAAGGGACGGCUAACUACGUGCCAGCGGCCGCGGUAAUUC